rnacentral:lncRNA from 1 species
AUAGGAGUCAAAAAUAUAUGGAAAAUUGAGAGAAAUAUAAGAGGAGAAUGAGGAAGACUUGAGAGGUUUGUGGCACCAAAAUCCAUGGAGGAGAGUCCUUUAACAAGAGAUCAAAAGUUGAUAUCUUGUAGAGAAGAAAGGUAAGAGAAAAGAUUAUCUUCUAUUAUUGGUUUUCUUUCUUAUUUUUUUUCUCUUUGUUUUUAUGUUUUUAUGUGAGAAAAAUAUGAGAG